UACGUAGGGGGCGAGCGUUGUCCGGAUUCAUUGGGCGUAAAGAGCUCGUAGGCGGUUCGGUAAGUCGGGUGUGAAAUCUCCGUGCUCAACACGGAGCGGCCACCUGAUACUGCCGUGACUCGAGUCCGGUAGGGGAGUGUGGAAUUCCCGGUGUAGCGGUGAAAUGCGCAGAUAUCAGGAGGAACACCAAUUGCGAAGGCAGCUCGCUGGGACGUUACUGACGCUGAGACGCGAAAGCGUGGGGAGCAAACAGG
rnacentral:rRNA from 1 species